rnacentral:rRNA from 1 species
ACUCCUACGGGAGGCAGCAGUGGGGAAUAUUGCACAAUGGGGGAAACCCUGAUGCAGCCAUGCCGCGUGUGUGAAGAAGGCCUCGGUUGUAAAGCACUUUCAGUAGGGAGGAAGGUAGUGUAGUUAACACCUGCAUUAUUUGUACGUUACCUACAGAAGAAGCACCGGCUAACUCCGUGCCAGCAGCCGCGGUAAGUACGGAGGGUGCGAGCGUUAAUCGGAAUUACUGGGCGUAAAGCGCAUGCAGGCGGCCUGUUAAGUCAGAUGUGAAAGCCCGGGGCUUAACCUCGGAAUUGCAUUUGAAACUGGCAGGCUAGAGUCUUGGUAGGGUAGGGUAA